rnacentral:rRNA from 1 species
GAUGAACGCUGGCGGCGUGCCUAAUGCAUGCAAGUCGAGCGAACAGACGAGGAGCUUGCUCCUCUGACGUUAGCGGCGGACGGGUGAGUAACACGUGGAUAACCUACCUAUAAGACUGGGAUAACUUCGGGAAACCGGAGCUAAUACCGGAUAAUAUAUUAAACCGCAUGGUUCAAUAGUGAAAGACGGUUUUGCUGUCACUUAUCGAUGGAUCCGCGCCGCAUUGGCUAGUUGGUAAGGUAACGGCUUACCAAGGCGACGAUGCGUAGCCGACCUGAGAGGGUGAUCGGCCACACUGGAACUGAGACACGGUCCAGACUCCUACGGGAGGCAGCAGUAGGGAAUCUUCCGCAAUGGGCGAAAGCCUGACGGAGCAACGCCGCGUGAGUGAUGAAGGUCUUCGGAUCGUAAAACUCUGUUAUUAGGGAAGAACAAAUGUGUAAGUAACUAUGCACGUCUUGACGGUACCUAAUCAGAAAGCCACGGCUAACUACGUG